UACGUAGGGUGCGAGCGUUGUCUGGAAUUAUUGGGCGUAAAGGGCUCGUAGGCGGUUUGUCGCGUCGGGAGUGAAAUCCACUGGCUUAACUGGUGGCUUGCUUUCGAUACGGGCAGACUGGAGGUAUGCAGGGGAGAACGGAAUCCCUGGUGUAGCGGUGAAAUGCGCAGAUAUCAGGAGGAACACCGGUGGCGAAGGCGGUUCUCUGGGCAUGUCCUGACGCUGAGGAGCGAAAGUGUGGGGAGCGAACAGG
rnacentral:rRNA from 1 species